UAGGCGAAUAAUUUGGGAGUAUAAAAUAAAUUUAAUCAGAGUAGCCUUUGAAUUGAUUCGAGACCUAAAUAAGCAUCAGCUCGACACACAUUUUUCGUUAGUUCAUUUUCAGACUCGCUCGAGUCAACACCCAAAUUUUCCAAAUUUUUUGUGUUUUUUUAUUUUUUUGUUAAACUAAUUCUGACGAAAUGCACAAACGUCUCUGGCUUAUUAUUCCCUUGGAUGUCUGACGAUGGUACCACGGAUUGACGCUCUUCGUUGAGGUCAUCGUAGGUCCAAGGCUUUCAUUAUGGACUCGGAAUUAUUUUGCUUUCUGCACACUCUUACGGAUAUCGCAGUUACCGUUGAACACUAAUCUCUCGAUACUUUCAACACUUAAUACCCAGCUGCAUAUUCUCUUAUGAUUAUGAACAUUUCAAGAACACAAGAAUAUAAUAAUGGCAAGUUGAUAAGAAAAAAACAAUUAAAAUUAGACCUCAGUCGGUGGGACAUCCUUCAAAUGGCCAACGUUGCAACGUUAUACUCUAACAACUAGUAGGAUAUGUUUCCAUCCAUUAUGGAUCUUGCAUCUGGUCCGGUCCAUCACUUAACUUAUUUCCUAUUAUUUUUCAAAUGACGUUGAAAUAAUAAUACGUUGUAAGUAAAUAAAUGCAAAACUACGAUAACAUA